rnacentral:lncRNA from 1 species
GGGCCCACGUGCAUUCUCUAAGGCGACCUCUUCGCCAAGGUGGUACAUCAAGCCACCGAGCCACGUGUCCUUUUUACGAUGCCCGGGCCCACGUGCAUUCUCUAAGGUACUCGCUUACCAAAGUGACGCAUCAGAUCACCGAGCCACGUGCCCUUUUAGAUGCCAUUCCGAAUACUGGACCCACGUGCAUUCUCUAAGGUACUCGCUUACCAAAGUGACGCAUCAGAUCACCGAGCCACGUGUCCUUUUAGAUGCCUGGGCCCACGUGCAUUCUCUAAGGUACUCGCUUACCAAAGUGACGCAUCAGAUCACCGAGCCACGUGCCCUUUUAGAUGCCAAACUCUGUCACCGAGCCACGUGCAUUCUCCAGGACGACAUACCGAGUCUCCGAGCCACGUGCAUUCUCUCAGGCGACCUCUUCGCCAAGGUGACAUAUUCAACCACUGAACUCACGUGCAUUUUCCAGGUGAAAUUCCAAUUCACCGAGCCCACGUGUCCUCUUUCAAGCGGUUACCAAUCUUCUUUCAAUACCGACAACCAAUGCCCAACGAUUUCUCAAUCAAAUAAUUAAAUCAACUCAACAAAACAUUAUAAAUGCUGAAUAACAUACUUGGCCAAUCACCCAUCAAUAAUUCAAUCUCAAUCGAUUCCAAUCAAUUUAGGGUAAAUCCCUAAAAUAUCACAAUUUAUUCAAUUCCAUACAACGUAGAGCUCAAAUAAAUAAACGGACUGCGCCACGACAAUCAGCACGAGAUUUCGGUCGUCGGCCAUCAACAUCUUAAUUUUUGAAAAAUAAUUAAUUUCGAAAAAUUAAAUAAUUAAUAUAAAAAAAAUUCAAUUUAGCUCAAAAUAAAGCCCGAUUAAAUAAACGGACUUCACCACGGUCAUCAGCAUAAUAUUCCGGUCCCGGGCCAUCUCAGUUGAAUUUUCGGAAAAUAAAUAAUUAUUUAAUUUAAUUCCGAAAAUUAAUAAUUAAAUACUAAAAAUAUCCACUUAGGCCCGAAAAGCCUAAUUGGAGCCCACUAAGGGUUGGGAAAAUUCCCGAAGCACUUCCAAUAAUUAGUAGACCACGUCUACUUGCUAAUUGCGCAAUCAAUUUAUCUAAAUCGCAUCACAAUUCACUAAUAAUUGCUAAUUUAUUCUAAUCUAACAACCUAAACAUAAUUAAUUAAAUCUAAACCAAACUUAAGCAUAAUUAGCCAACUAAUCCUGGAUUAGUGAGAUUACUCACCAAUCGCAUCACAAAUCGGAUCAAUCCGACGGCGGCGACGCGAGGAACGAUUGUUCCCAAAGCACGGCUCGGGUUCGGGGCCCGGAAACGGCCCAAAACGGCCCAAGAGCCGGCUGAAAACCCACUUCGUGGGUUGCUGGAUUAGCUGCGAAACAGAGGAAAACAGAGAUGGUUAGAGGCGGAGAGGGGUGGGGAAAGCAAGAGGCGGUCCGGUGAGGCCACACGGUGGCUCCGGCGGCUUGCUCGGCCACUCACGGUGGCUGGACGAGACGGAACAGUGGCUGGUUCGUGCGGAGGGAGGAGCGGCCGCGAGCGACGGACGGCGGGACGGUGGCGGCGCACAGGCGCGGCGCGGGUGCGGGCGGCGGUGCGGCGGCGGGACAACGACGGUGCUGCAACUUCUGGUCUUCUUCCGCUUCUGGUUUCCGCGAAGAAGAAAGAAGAAAGAAGGAGAAGAAAGGAGCCGGUUUUGUCGUGCAGGGGAAGAAAGAAGAGAGAGAGAGAGAAGGGAUAAGCAUUGACCGGUCAAAGAAAGAGAGAGGGAGGGAAUGGGCGGUGGGGGCAAUUCGCACGAGGGGGAGGGGAGAGGAGAGAGGAGAGAGAAAGAAAAGAGAAGGGAGAGAGAGAGAAAAUAAAGAAAAAUAAACAACAAUACUUUUCUUAUUUGAUUUUCUUUUCUCUUUCCCAUUCUAAUUUCUUUCGGGCUUCAAUUUUCUUCCGACAAUUUCUUUAAUGAAAUUUCGGACUCGGCAAUAAAUUGAUUGACGAUGAGACGGUCCCAAAAAUGAAUUGUGACACUCUCGAAUAUUCGAUUCCCGAAACCAAAUCAAAUUCCAUGGUUAAAAUCGACCGGACGUGAUUUUAGUCCAAUCCAACCAAUUAGGUAGCUUUUAGGGAUUUUACCAUGGAUAUAUCCCUUAACAGCUUCACCCAAUAGGUUAGUUAACUCGUGAGUGAUCAGCUCAGAGAAAAAGGACCAUAGACACGUCGACGAAAUGCACAUUUCAUUUUAUCGAAACGGGGUCGAAUUUCAGGAUGUCACAAGCCUACUUGCCCUUUCUGUCGCGAGCAUCCAGAGUCCUCCGAGCACCUAUUUAUCCUGUGCCAGUGGAUAAACGCAAUAUGGCUGAACUUCAGUGAUCAAAUCAGCACAUCCCCGACAUCAGUUACAAGAAUAGAUCAGUGGGUAUGCAACUACCUCUUCUCCGGCAUCUCAGUAAGUCAAAAGGCGACCUUCGCGACCACUCUGUGGUACAUAUGGAAAGCACGAAACGGCCCGAUCUUUCAAGGACGGAAAACAUAACAAAACAAGAUCAUCAGUGAAGCUCGCCUAGCUCAACAACUAUUCGAGAAGUGGCACCCAUAAAGGACAACGCUUACCUCGGAACGAUACUCAUGGGUACCUCCAGAUCCGGGCGCGUGGAAGAUCAACGUGGAUUGCUCAUGGCAGGAGAGCAGAUCGGAGGGAUCCAUCGCCGGCAUUUGUAGAGGAGCUGAUGGGGUGUGAACCGCUGGUUUUGAGCAGAAAAUCCGAGCUCAAUCAGCUCACAUGGCCGAAACCCUAGCUAUCCGGCAUUCGCUCGAGUGGUUGAAGGAGAAGAGAGCUGUUCUGACAAAACCACUUUCACCCGCACGAACUGAAGCCAUCUUCUACGUAUCUAGCGACUGCUUCUUGGCUGUUUAGUCGAUUCUGGGCCGCACAGAAACUCCAUGGGCCUCGCGGCCCUUUGUCCUGGAUUGCCGACAACUGCUGGGCCAAAUGAAGGAUGUCCUCUUGCAAUUUGAACCGCGCGAGUCCAACCGAGCCGCGGACUGGAUCGCAAAAUCACACGGCUCCGGUUCCUUGCCGGGUAAUUGGGUUACUAAUCCCCCGCACGAACUCUUUCUUAUCUUAUGUGUUGAUUUUCCUAAUAUUUGUAUUCCACCUACUUAGUCUCAAUCAAAGCGUUUUCACUUCGACCAAAAAAAAAAAAUUAAAAAAUUAGUUUGUGGUAAAUUUGUCAUAAAUGCAAGAAUUUAAUAUUAUUGAUUAUCAAAAUAUUAGUUGGCGUAAAAAUUUACUGGUUAGGAUUUUUUGUGGUACUAACUAUUCUUUCUUAAAAUAAUCUUUUUGGUCCUAAAACUGCAAAUUUGGUUGUUAAAUUAGCUCUUACUACUGGAGGUUGGACUAUUCUUUUUUUCUUUUAUGUGAUUGAACUACUCACGGUGGUGCUUUUGGCACCAACAGGGAGCCCUUGGUAACGGAUAAAUUGCUUUGUACUUUUUGCAACAAAUUUGUCUCUCUUUUUUCUUUUUCUUUUUAAGGCAAAGCUUAUAAGUUAGAACUUGAGCCCGUAAUGCCGAGGAUUUGAGACACCUUUCAAAUAUUUUUUUGUAAAGCCAAAGGAUUAAAACGGAUAUUGGUGAUACUUUAAUAAAAAAUAAUGAAUUUCGGUCAUUUUUUUUAUAGUCUUUGAAGUGUCUGUAUGGUAUGGAAUUUUGUGUAGAAAAUACUAUAAAAUGCACAAAAGGACAACCUUUUUUUUUUUUUGGCUGGUGGAACAAUCCCCGGAGAGAUCAUCGAGCCACGUGCAUUCUCUAAGGUACUCGCUUACCAAAGUGACGCAUCAGAUCACCGAGCCACGUGUCCUUUUAGAUGCCUGGGCCCACGUGCAUUCUCUAAGGUACUCGCUUACCAAAGUGACGCAUCAGAUCACCGAGCCACGUGCCCUUUUAGAUGCCAAACUCUGUCACCGAGCCACGUGCAUUCUCCAGGACGACAUACCGAGUCUCCGAGCCACGUGCAUUCUCUCAGGCGACCUCUUCGCCAAGGUGACAUAUUCAACCACUGAACUCACGUGCAUUUU